rnacentral:rRNA from 1 species
UACGGAAGGCAGCAGUGGGGAAUAUUGCACAAUGGGCGCAAGCCUGAUGCAGCCAUGCCGCGUGUAUGAAGAAGGCCUUCGGGUUGUAAAGUACUUUCAGCGGGGAGGAAGGCGGUGAAGUUAAUAGCUUCACCGAUUGACGUUACCCGCAGAAGAAGCACCGGCUAACUCCGUGCCAGCAGCCGCGGUAAUACGGAGGGUGCAAGCGUUAAUCGGAAUUACUGGGCGUAAAGCGCACGCAGGCGGUCUGUCAAGUCGGAUGUGAAAUCCCCCGGGCUUAACCUGGGAACUGCAUUCGAAACUGGCAGGCUAGAGUCUUGUAGAGGGGGGUAGAAUUCCAGGUGUAGCGGUGAAAUGCGUAGAGAUCUGGAGGAAUACCGGUGGCGAAGGCGGCCCCUGGGACAAAGACUGACGCUCAGGGUGCGAAAGCGUGGGGAGCAAACAGGAUUAGGAUACC